CAAAUAUUUCCAUAUCAGGGUCCUGGGUUCCUUAAUCUAAUCUGCUACUCUCUCUCUCUCUCUCCCCAUGUUGUGUGUCUUUCCCUCCAAAAUCAGGAGGUAGGCAAUUCUUCCAUUCCCCCUUACUUUUCUCUCAAAUUAAUUCGUUUAGAUUUUUAGUAUGAUGAUCAUUUGUUGCAUAAUUCACUUGAUAAUGAUAAUUUCAACUAUCUAGGUUAGUGAUCAUUCUAUUUUUUUUUUCCUUUCGUUGUUUUCUUUCUUGGAUGUGAGGGUCUGGAAAUUAAUUGUUCGAUUUUUCAGUUGUUCGUUCCAAUUAUGCUCAGUAAGUUCGAGAGUCUUUUACCAUUUACAUGAAGGAGAUAUAUAUCAUAUUUGAUCAUCCUGUGUAAGCCUAAUAAUUGAUCGAUUUCUCUGACAAAAUAAUAUAAUGUCAAGAAAAAUAUGGUGAAGUGUAUUUAAUUUUCGCAUGGUUCAUUAAUAAUUAAUUAAUAAACAUAAUACCUCCAUGACGAGCACGAGUUUAUUAAAGUUAGAAUUGUUGUUAUUACAGCUUGGCAGCAUGACUUUUGGUAACUCGAAGAAAACCACCAAAGGAAAGGGAAAAGAUUAGUAGUUUGAUUAUAAGUAGUGUGUUUAGCUCUUCGAAAAUGUAUUUUGCACUCCAACCUAGUGUAUAAAAUAAAAAUAUAUGUGCGGCAGAGAAUGUGGGUUUCAGACAUCGAAUUUAGAAAUUCAAGUCCCCGUUUUCAGUAAUAUUAGUACAAAUCGUUUAGUUUGCUAAUUAAAGGUUAUGGAAUUUUGACUGUGAUUGAAUAGAUUUGGUUAGUGGAUAUUGGUAAUUGUGGGUUCUUCUUGGAAAGACAAAAUUAAAUUAAAAGGACGAACUACGAAUGACUUGAUCCCUAUUAAGAGUACGUAGGCAGUCUAACAAGAGGUUAGCUGCAACCAUAAAGUGUACGACAAAUUACUACGUAAUUCAAGGCAUGGGAUGUGCUUGGUACUUAUUCUGGAGGCGGGUAUGUUAAAUAUAUGGUUAUCUGAUGAUGUCACAUGUAUAGAAACAGAAACUUCCUCAGUAAGUUUUCGAUUGUAUUUCACAGAAUAAUCAAUUACACAUGUAAGGAUAUAUAUAGCCUUUGGCCAUUUACAUUAAUACCCUUUAACUGCUUUAACUAAUCACUUAACUACCUUGACUAACCACAGCUAUUAACAAACUAAUUACAUUUUAGUUAUAACAAACUAUUUUUUAGUAGCUAUAGUGGAUGACUUGUCAUUCUCCCUAAUACACCCCCCUCAAGCUACAAGGGGAAUCAGAGUUGAUUCCAAUGGGAAGCUUGGAACACAGAUAAGCAAAUCUGCUUUUAGAUAGAGACUUGGUGUGAAGGUCAGCCAAUUGAUCUUCACUACAAACAAAUUGCACUUUAAUGAGUUUUGCCAGGACCAAUUCUCGAAUGUAGUGAUAGUUAAUCUCCACAUGCUUAGUUCGAGCAUGAAAGAUAGGAUUAGAUGCUAAGGAGAUUGCUGAGAUGUUGUCACACCAUAGUGUAGGCUGUGUAGGCAAUGGAAAAUGAAGAUCACGAAGGAUUUUGCUCACCCAAGUGAUUUCUGCAGCAGUGUGGGCUAAGGACCGAUAUUCAGCUUCGGUAGAUGAACGGGCAAUAGUGCUUUGUUUCUUGGCACUCCAGCUGAUGAGAUUAGGUCCAAGGAACACACAGUAUCCAUUAGUGGAAUGUCUAUCAAAGGUGCAGUCGACCCAAUCAGCAUUAGAGUAUGCCGAGAGAUGAACAGAGCCCUUGGUGAACCAUAAACCAUGUGAAAGAGAACCCUUAAGGAAUCUGAGAACUCGUUUGGCUGCUUGAAGAUGUUGGUCCCUUGGAGCAUGCAUAAAUUAUCUGGUUGACAGCAAAUGCAAGGUCCGGUCGAGUCCAAGUAAUAUUGUAAUCCACCAACUAUAGAACGAUAUUCAGUGGGAUUUGACAAGAGUGGCCCACUGUGAUCCAGUUUCUUGGAGCCAAGAGGUGUGCAACAAGGUUUUACACCUUCCACAUUGGUUUUCUUAAGAAGAUCAAGCAAAUACUUAGUUUGAUGAAGGAAAAUCCCUUUGGAUGAUCUGUGCACUUCUAAGCCCAAGAAAUAAUGUAAAGGACCAAGAUCCUUUACUGGAAAUCUAGCACUGAGUUGUUGAAUGAAUUGUUGAUAGAGUUGAGAGUUGGGGCCAGUAACAAGAAUAUCAUCAACAUAAACAAGAACAAUUACCAAUUCAGGACCGUUGAGAACAAACAAAGAAGCAUCAGAUGAAGAUUGUUUGAACCCAAGUUGUUGAAGAACUUGAAAGAAUUUAUCAAACCAAGCCUGAUGAGCUUGUUUGAGACCAUACAGAGAUUUCCUUAAUUUGCGAACAUAACUGGGAGAAAGAGGAUCAAUGAAGCCUGGAGGUUGUUGCAUGUAAACAUCUUCCUUUAAAUCUACAUGAAGGAAUGCAUUGCUGAUGUCUAAUUGGUUUAAAAACCAAUUAUAUUGAACAUCAAGUGUAAGAAGAAUCCGAAUUGUGACCGGUUUAGCAACUGGAUUGAAGGUUUCUUGAAAAUCAAUACUUUCUUAUUGAUGAAAGCCCUUUGCCACAAGGCGUGCUUUGUAUUUAUCAACAGUGCCAUCUGGCUUUUUCUUGACUCGAAAUACCCAUUUACAUCCAACAACAUUUUGGGAAGGAUGUGAGGGAACAAGGGACCAAGAUCCUAUGGACAGUAAAGCAUUAUAUUCAUCCUGCAUUGCAGCUCGCCAGUGAGCAUGCUUGGAUGCUUGUAAGUAAGUACUGGGAACAAAUUCAAGGUCAAUUGGAAGUGGAUGUUUUGUUGCUGCAUAAAUCCAAGGUUUGUAGAUCCUAGCCUUAGAUCGUGUAAUCAUAGGAUGUGUAUUGCUAGAAAUGAUGGGAUGACUUGGCUAAAUUGGUGGCAAGAUUGAAGAUUCUGAAGAAGGGAUUGAAGUUGUAGAAGUAUCCAUUGAAAUGGUUCCAGGGUAAGAGGAACUCGGAGUAGUAAGAACAUGUACAAAAUGACAUGGCGUUGAAGAUGUAUUACUAGGGGGAGAAUGAUGAGGAUAUGUGUUAAAAUGAAGAUCAAGUGAUGAAGAACACACUGGAGUUGAAUUAUCCGAACUUGGAUUCUGGAGUUGCAGAGACCUUCAUUGAACACUACAUGUCUUGAUAUGUAAAUUCUGUUGGUGAUGGGAUCAAGACAUCUAUAGCCUUUAUGUUGAAGGCUAUAUCCCAAGAACACACAGCUUUUGCUCUUAGUAUCUAAUUUGCUGUUGACAUAAGGUUUAAGCCAUGGAAAAAAUUGACAACCAAACACCUUGAGUUUAGAGUAAUUGGGGAUGUUGAUGAAACAGAAGUUCCCAAGGUGACUUUGAACAACCAAAGAUGUGAAGUCUAUUGAUAAGAUACAUGGCAGUGGAAAAGGCUUCAACCCAAAACGUAUGAGGCACAUGAGAAGCAACAAGUAAAGUUCGAGCUGUCUCAACAAGAUGCUUGUGCUUUCUCUCAGCAUAACCAUUUUGCUCAGGCGUGUGUGGACCGCUAUAUUGAUGUAAUAUACCAUGUGUACGAAGAAAUGUUGCAAAAGAAUGAGCAGUAAAUUCACCCCCUGAAUCUGAAUGCAGAACUUUGAUUUUAUUGCCAAGUAAGUUUUCUACAUAGGUUUUGAAGACAACAAAUGUAGAAAAAAUAUCGGACUUGGAUUUCAAUGGAAAGAACCAACUAUAUUUGCUAAAGUCAUCAACAAGUAGUAGAUAAUACUUGAAACCACUACUAGAUGUAACAGAGGCAAGUCCCCAUAAGUCACAGUGUAGAAGUUGAAGACUUUGAGUUGUUGAUGAAGACGACACUCCAAAUGGAAGCUUGUGAUUCUUAGCAAAACGAGCUUCAAAACUCUCUUAAUUUUGUACCCUUUGGUUCAGUUUUGAGCAUUCAAAAGUGAGCAUUAACUUGGUUGAUGAAAGCAGCUUUUUUUGUAGCUUAUGUGGAGAUAUGAGUGUUGUUUUUAACUUACUCAAUUCAUCUCCCAGUUUCUUUUAAAUUACCAUUGCCUUGUAUCAGUGUUGUUAUUGGCAUUAUAAGUUGUACUAAGAUUAUGUCUAUGCUAGGCAUGUUUAUAAUUUGUAAUUAGUUGCUUUGUUGCUUAGUAAUAUCCAUCAUUGGUGUCCGUUAUCAUUUGUUCAUGCUUUUAUAAAUUGGAUUAGGCUCGGGAGUUCUUAGAAACUUUGGAGGGUGUGUGUUAGCAAAGCUAGUUGAUACAUGGGAAGAAACAUAUAUGUUUACUAUGCACAUCAUGGGGGUUGAUUUAUGAUAUGUGGUGAUAAGAAGGCACCAUGUAUCAGUGUGGCUCAUGGGUGGUCCUGCCUGGUUAAUCCACAUCAGGGGACCACGCCAUGUGAUGUGUGAAUCUAUUGGAUCAAAUUACGUAGAGUUGUGGGCCCCACUGUCGAUUGAGAGUUGACUUUUGGUUACCAUGUCUCGAAUCGUUUAUAAAACUAAAAUUAGUAUUACUAGAAACUUAGUGAAGCUUUGUGGACUUGUCUCGGUGAGUGACUUUAAUAUAUGUGAUGUAGUUAAUACCCUGAAAACUCCCAUACUAGUAUACUUUGUGGAUACAACAUGGAUUUCUAAAAUAUGUUUAUGCUAAAUAAUUGUUUUUGUAAAGUUUGUCAUCGAUCUACCAUAUGAAGCAUUAUGUGACUUGGAUAUUUGAACUGUUGAUGGAUUGUGUUUAAAAAAAUAUAUUUGAUUGUUGAUAAACAUAAGGACUAGUAGAGGACCGUUACCCUAGUGCCACGGAGUUAGGUGAUACUGAGUCUACACCAUGUAGUAGUGGUACAUGGAUGGUCCUGCUUGGUUAAUCCGCAUUGGGGGACCAUAAUAUUUAUGGAUCUCAAUUGGUUAAUCCACGUUGGGCGAUCCUUAUGGCCAUUUAUACUUAGGGGUGAUCAUGCUUGGUUAAUCUGCAUUGGGUGAUCACUGCCUAACAGCUCUGUAGGUGUGACUCUGCUUGGUUAAUCCGUAUUGGGGAGUCACUACGUACUUGGUUAUCUUGACCCUGCUUGGUUAAUCCAUGUUGGGGGGUCACUAGUGGUCCUACCUUGUUAAUCCGCGUUGGGGGACCAUAUUAUAUAUGGGUCGUGCUUAGUUAAUUCGCGUUGGGUGAACCUUAUGGCCAUGUAUGCUUAGGAGUGAUCAUGCUUGGUUAAUCCGCAUUGGGUGAUCACUUCCUAACAACUGUAGGAGUGGCUCUGCUUGGUUAAUCCACUUUGGGGGGCCACUUCCUGUUUGGUUGCUUAUGUAGGCUUCGGCUGAACUGCGUCACUCUAGCCCUAGUUUUAAUGUACAUAUGAACGAUGAUUUUUGAGAAUCUUGUGGUUGAAUUAGAAAAGCAGUUGGAUGUCUGGGUGACUCAUUCGGAGAUUUCAAAGGAUUGGUAUUGAUUUCUUAUGAAUGUUUUAUAUUCAAGGUAUAUAAACUGUGAUUGAUGUUUGGUUUUAUUAUUGUUAUCAUAUACUUUGUAUUAUUAUCACUCACCCGAGUUUCGCAGCUUAUCCGAAUUUUGGUUGGCCAGUUCACCAUUCCCAUGAUGUUGGUACUGAUUAUACAUGUGAUAAGUCUGGGUAGAUUUCGAGAAAUUGCGUGAUAUUUUGGUUCCGUUGAGUGGUCCGGAUUCUUCGCUCUUGCUCAUUUUCAUAAAGUUAGUUCGACCCUAGAUUCGAGUGAGUAGGAAUUGCUCACAGUAGACAUUGUGUUUAUAAAUUUGAUAUUUACCUUAUUAUUAUUUGGAAUUCAUGCGGGGGAAUUAUGUUGAAUUCCCUUAUUAAAUUUCGAGAAGUGUUAUGUGAUCUUGAUGAUUGAUUAACGUAGUUAAAUGUUAAUAUUGUGCAUCUGUGAUUCAUGGACUGAUUAAUUAGAUGAUUGUGAAUUGAUUAGUACUUGUAUGGUUAAAUUAUUGUUAGAAGUCACAUUGCUCUCGUAUAUAGAUUAGUGAUGUGCUGGGCUAGAAUGAUGAUGUUAUGUUAUUCUUGUGAAUUGAAGUUGAAAUGUGUCAAACCCGAUGCUAACUAAAUUUGAGAACAAUUUGGAAGUGCAGAGAGUUUUGAAAAUUUCAAGGAUGAAAUUUUUUUUAAGGGGCGAAGGAUGUGAAAUCCCAUCCCCGGAAUUUCAUUAUUCAUUACAUAUCUCGUUAUUACAAACGACUAGGUACAUGCAUAGUGAAAAUUGGAACUUGGAACUAGAAAGAUUUUACAAAACAAGUAUCAAUUAUUUUAUUCAAAGUAGAGGGAAAAGAUAAUAUCAUUAGAUAUAAAAUAUUAAUGAUAGAAUAUAUAUUAAUAAUAAAAGAAGAAAGAGAGAAGGGUUGGAGAACCAUCGGGAAAAGAAGGAAAAGAAAAAAGGGGAGAAGGAAAAGAAUUUGGGGGGGGGGGGAGGAUAUCUGGGAUCGCUCUCUUUUUCUGGGAGGAAGGAGGGGAGAACUUCCCACAAAUAUCUCCAUAUCAGUGUCUUGGGUUCCUUAAUCUAAUCUGCUACUCUCUCUCUCUCCCCCUGUUGCGUUUCUUUCCCUCCAAAAUCAGGAGGUAGGCAAUUCUUCCAUUCCCCCUUACUUUUCUCUCAAAUUAAUCUGUUUAGAUUUUUAGUAUGAUGAUCAUUUGUUGCAUAAUUCACUUGAUAAUGAUAAUUUCAACUAUCUGGGUAGGUGAUCAUUCUAUUUUUUUCCUUUCGUUGUUUUCUUUCUUGGAUGUGAGGGUCUAGAAAUUAAUUGUUCAAUUUUUCAAUUGUUUGUUCCAAUUAUGCUCAGUAAGUUCGAGAGUCUUUUACCAUUUACAUGAAGGAGAUAUAUAUCAUAUUUGAUCAUCUAUCAUAUUUGAUCAUCCUGUGUAAGCCCAAUAAUUGAUCGAUUUCUCUGACAAAAUAAUGUAAUGUCAAGAAAAAUAUGGUGAAGUGCAUUUAGUUUUCGCAUGGUUCAUUAAUAAUUAAUUAAUAAACAUAAUACCUCCAUGAUGAGCACGAGUUUAUUAAAGUUAGAAUUGCUGUUAUUACAGCUUGGCAGCAUGACCUUUGGUAACUCGAAGAAAACCACCAAAGGAAAGGGAAAAGAUUAGUAGUUUGAUUAUAAGUAGUGUUUAGCUCUUCGAAAAUGUAUUUUGCACUCCAACCUAGUGUAUAAAAUAAAAAUAUAUGUGAGGCACAGAAUGUGGGUUUCGGACAUCGAAUUUGGAAAUUCAAGUCCCGUUUUCAGUAAUAUUAGUACAAAUCUUUUAGGUUGCUAAUUAAAGGUUAUGGAAUUUUGGCUGUGAUUGAAUAGAUUUGGUUAGUGGAUAUUGGUAAUUGUGGGUUCUUCUUGGAAAGACAAAAUUAAAUUAAAAAGACGAACUACAAAUGGCUUGAUCCCUAUUAAGGGUACGUAGGCAGUCUAACAAGAUGUUAGAUGCAGCCAUAAAGUGUACGACAAAUUACUACGCAAUUCGAGGCAUGGGAUGUGCUUUGUACUUAUUCCGGAGGCGGGUAUGUUAAAUAUAUGGUUAUCUGAUGAUGUAACAUGUCGAUCCUGGACGUAUGUGGGAAUCGAGGCGUAACAAUUUAGCCGUCACCGUCACAAUCCUAUGCAAUUCUAUCAACUACUUAUGAAUAUCCACAUACAUGCUUUGAAGGUUAGGUUUCCUAAUGCGUAUUUUCCUUGUGAUGUUCAAGAGAAUACGUAUGUCUAACAUGCAAUCCGUUUGUGAUGUUCAGAUCAAAUAUAAACAUGCAAGACUCAUUAAGUUUCGUGAAAACCCUCUAAAAAACCAUACAACCCUUAAGAGCGUGAUGUUCGCCUUAAGUGAACUUACAAUUACUAAUCACAAGAAGCCCUCUUCAAUUUCAAGGUAAUGUUCCAACAGAAAUUGCAUCAACUUACUUGUCUAAAUAUCCUAAUGGUGAUCAAUCAUUAAAAUAUAUAGAUAGUUUUAAUUCUAGUGAUUAAUAAUUCAAAGCAAGCAUGCAUUCGUUCAUAAGCAAAUUAAUAAAAGGGAUAUUUUGGAUGCGGUUCCUAAUCCUUAACAUUCUUUGAUUAAAACCUUAAUAGUAUUCAAAGUUUGAUCAAAGUCCAUUGACUUUGUACACCUCAUUAUAUUACUAUUAAUAUUAAUAUUUUUAUAGUUUUGACAUUAAUUGUUUGAUAUUUUAUGAGAUUUAUAAUCCUAUAAAUUUAAAAUUCCUCAUUAUAAUACUAUUAGAAACGGUUAUAAUAAAAAAAUUCAAACAUUUUGAUUGAAUAAAUGGUUAAAAACUAUGUAAGAAUAAGAAAUAAUAAAUGGCAAAAGAAUGUAUCCAUAGUGUUAGAAAAAAAGUGGUAUAUUUUACAAAACAAUUGGUACAUUUCACAUAUAACAAAGUGGUACAUUAAUAAAGAAGAAUGGAUACAUUAGAAAUAAAUUAGGGUACAGAUAAAAGUUUAAAAAUUAUGAAUACAAAUGAAUUUUUAAAAAUAUAGGCACUAAAAGAAAUUAAUACAUGAGUAUAAAAUAAAACUAAAAAGAAAAUACUACAAAUAAAAAAAAAUGUUGCAAAUUAAAAGUGGGUACAAACUAAAAAUAUAAAUAUAUGA
rnacentral:lncRNA from 1 species